rnacentral:rRNA from 1 species
GACGAACGCUGGCGGCGUGCCUAAUACAUGCAAGUCGAGCGAGUCUGCCUUGAAGAUCGGAGUGCUUGCACUCUGUGAAUCAAGAUACAGGCUAGCGGCGGACGGGUGAGUAACACGUGGGUAACCUGCCCAAGAGAUCGGGAUAACACCUGGAAACAGAUGCUAAUACCGGAUAACAACAGAUGAUGCCUAUCAACUGUUUAAAAGAUGGUUCUGCUAUCACUCUUGGAUGGACCUGCGGUGCAUUAGCUAGUUGGUAGGGUAACGGCCUACCAAGGCGAUGAUGCAUAGCCGAGUUGAGAGACUGAUCGGCCACAUUGGGACUGAGACACGGCCCAAACUCCUACGGGAGGCAGCAGUAGGGAAUCUUCCACAAUGGACGCAAGUCUGAUGGAGCAACGCCGCGUGAGUGAAGAAGGGUUUCGGCUCGUAAAGCUCUGUUGUUGGUGAAGAAGGACAGGGGUAGUAACUGACCUUUGUUUGACGGUAAUCAAUUAGAAAGUCACGGCUAACUACGUG